UCAGAUAUGGAUCACAUUAACAACAGUCCUUCAUUUUUAAAGCUUAUUGAGGAAGAUGACCCAAUAUUUUUGGUAUGUUAUAUGUACGAGUAUGCCACAUGGUUCAAGUUCUCUUGAGUCCUCAGAGUUGUGAAUUAGUUCGCUUUUCAAGUACUUUGCUUCUGAAGAUUGCAAUAGAAGUUUAGGAUGCAAGUGCACAUGUUGUGAGCCCUGGUGUGACCACUGAUGAAAUUGAUGUUGUGGUUCAUGAAGCAACCAUUGUUGCUGGUACGAGCGAUUAUAAGUAAAAGAUUCUACUUUUCACUCCAGCUGCAAGAAAAAGUAUUACCACACAUGAGGAUAGAAGUUUACCUCAAGAACUAUGCGUGGAAUAUAGACAUGGUUUUAACUUUAAGGCAUGUAAUAUAGAACUUUCUUUAAAAGAAACUCACAUUAUUAUAUGGAAUGUUCAUACA